CAUGUGCUGCUGCGAGUUGCUAACAGCAGGAUAUCAAGCUGGAGACAGUCUAAGACAUUAGUUCUAUCUGUGUGUAGUGAUCACUUAAUGUGUUUGUGUCGUUCCUUUUUUUAAAAAAGUAUUUGUAUAAGUUCGAGAAUAUUUGUGAACUCGUGAACUCUGAAACGCCCAAGAUGGGGUCGUCGUUCCGUAGCGAGGAGAUGACUAUGGCGCAGUUGUUUCUCCCAACUGAUUCUGCUUAUUUUUGCAUGUCUGAACUAGGCGAGCUCGGUCAAGUGCAGAUCUGCGAUUUGAACCCGGACACUAAUGCUUUUCAACGACGAUUCGUUAACGAGAUACGCCGUUGCAAUGAAAUGGAAAGGCAGCUGCAUUAUAUUUUGCGACAGAUUAAAAUGAAAUCUCUGCAUAUUCCGCAGUUGAGCGCCAAAGGCUAUCCGAAGGCACCUCAUCCAAAAGAUAUGAUUGACAUGGAGGCAACCUUUACAAAAAUAGAAGACGAGUUAAAAGAAGUUAACGUCAAUGGCGAGGAACUGAAAAGGACAUACCUCGAACUUUCUGAGGCCAAGAUGAUCGUGGAGCUAACGCAGGAGUUCUUCGAGCAGCGAGAACGUUCGGCGAGUGUGGUGCAACGUGAUGACGGCUUUCAACUGAUGCCGACAGACAAUAUUAAUCUAUUCUUCCUGGCGGGAGUAGUUCCCCGUGAAAAGCUCAUGUCUUUAGAGACGCUGCUGUGGCGCGUCUGCAGGGGCAACAUAUUUUUGCGUCAGGAGCCGAUUUCACUACCCCCGGACGAUCCCCACUCUGGUAACAGGCAGCUGAAGAACAUUGUCUUAAUCUUCUUCCAGGGCGAACAACUGAAAUUGAAGAUUAAAAAAAUCAUGCAGGCGUUUCACGCCACGAUAUAUCCGAUCUCGGAUACGCCGAAAGGUCGUCAUCAGUUACUAGAUAACAUUCGUGGCCGGCUGGAAGAUUUGAAGAAAGUUCGCCAGGAAGCUGAUGAUCACAGAGAUCGCGUUCUUAGAGCUGCCUCCCGAAAAAUCAACUCGUGGUUUGUCCAGGUUCGUAAAAUGAAAGCGACGUUCCACACGCUCGAUUGUUGUAAUAUGGACAUCACAUCAAAAUGUCUUCUAGCUGAAGCAUGGAUGCCGGUUGCAGAUAUUGCGCUCGUACAGAACGCUCUGAAUCGUGGCCAGGUGGCGUCGGGUAGUAACGUGUAUCCUAUUUUGCAACAAGUCGAUACAAAUCAGGUCCCACCAACCUACAAUCGUACGAACAAAUUUACCAAUGCGUUUCAAAAUAUUAUUGAUGCGUACGGCAUUGCGACCUACCAGGAAAUUAAUCCAACUCCAUUUACCAUCGUCACGUUUCCUUUUUUGUUCGCUGUGAUGUUCGGCGACGCGGGCCAUGGCCUUCUUAUGUUCCUUUUUGCGUUCUGGAUGGUCCUCUGGGAACGAUCGCUCAGCGAACAGUGGAAUGACAACGAGAUCUGGAAUAUGUUCUUCGGCGGUCGGUACAUUAUCAUUUUGAUGGGCUUUUUCUCAAUGUAUACUGGCUUAAUCUAUAACGACGUGUUCUCAAAAUCGAUGAACAUUUUCGGAUCCAGUUGGACGGUUCCUAAAAACCAGACCAAUCACAAUGAGGGUAUCACGAUGCUUGAUCCAAACGACGACUAUAGCAGAUAUCCCUACAUCUUUGGAGUGGAUCCUAUAUGGCAAGUAGCAACGAAUAAGAUCCCAUUCACGAACUCAUUCAAGAUGAAAACCUCGGUCGUCUUUGGUGUGCUUCAGAUGCUAUUUGGAGUGCUCCUAUCACUUGGCAAUCACCUAUUUCAAAAGGACAGACUCUCGAUUCUGGCUGAAUUCGUUCCCCAGUUAUUGUUUCUCUGCCUCAUAUUUGGGUACCUGGUCAUUGCUAUAUUCCUCAAAUGGGCGUUCUUCUACCGCAAUGCGAGCUGCGCUCCCUCUCUGCUCUUAAUGCUUAUCAACAUGUUUAUAUUGCAGUAUAAACCGUACAAUAAGAAUGAUGAAGCCACCUGUGCGAACUGGCCAUUGUAUGAAGGUCAAGAGGCGAUACAAACAACUUUUAUUAUCGUUGCUAUGAUAUGCGUACCGUGGAUGUUGUUUGUAAAGCCAUUAGUCUUGAAGAGUCGCGCCGAACCUGCCAAGGCAAUGCGCGCCUCGUCAACAGCGCCACUUAACGCUGAAGAACUCGGGGAGGCUAAGCACGCCCAGACCGAGGAGAACAGCCAUGGCAACCAUGAGCCGGCUGCAGCCGAUAACGGUAGAGGUCAAGGGUGUCCCGCUACCAGCGAAUUCGAUUUUGGUGAAUGUUUAAUUAACCAGGUUAUUCAUACGAUUGAGUACGUCCUUGGUUCGGUCUCUCAUACUGCCUCGUAUCUCCGACUUUGGGCGUUGUCGUUGGCCCACUCUCAGCUGUCGGAGGUAUUAUGGAGUAUGGUGUUCAAAGUAGGACUGAACACGACGGACUGGUUUGGUUUUAUCGCAGUGUUUUUGGUCUUUUCGUUCUGGGCAUUUCUGACAACUGCCGUGCUGCUCUUAAUGGAAGGCCUCUCAGCUUUUCUACACGCUCUUCGUCUUCACUGGGUGGAGUUCCAGUCGAAAUUUUAUCACGGCGAGGGACACCUAUUUUUACCGUUCAAAUUCAGCGAGAUGCUCGAUUCAGCUGAACGAGCCGACCGUGCCCUAACCGCUUAAAAUGUUUACGAGCGGAUGCCGAUUGUGUCUAGUAGACUGCUAAUAUAUAUGACUAUACCCUGGGUACGUCUGUGGCUCCAUGCUUUGUAACGGCGUGUGGCUUAAACUUUGUGCGAAUAAUGAGAAUUGUGAUAAGAAGAAAAAUGGAUCCGAAAUCACCUUUCGUGUACAGGAAGCAGUUCGCGUGGUAACGCAACUCGUAAAAGGAAAAACGAUGGUAUAGGCAAAACACUUCCAUGUGGGUUUAGAUCCUCACAGUAUUCCCACUAUGGAUCACCGAAAGUUAGACAAUAGGAUCGAAAAUGGACUACAUAUUUUCACUUGUGACCAAUUUGACAGAUAGUGACGUAAAAACUAGGCUUAUAUGUUAUCAGAUGUGGUCAGUUCUACCUGUUGUGAACAGGUAUUGGUCUGUCGGUGAGAAUGAAACUAAUCUGAAUCAAAAGAAAAAGGGCCAAAACAUCAUGGCUCUCAAAACGUUUUCAGAGUGCCACAUCUGAAAGAAGAUUUAUGGGAAUAAUUCAGUCUGUAUCAUCAGAAGCUAGUGUAUAUUGCUUAAACAAUGCCUGGAGCUUUAACAAUAUGGGAUUCUUUCGUCAUUAACAAAUUUAUAGACUUGCUAAGAACAGUACUUACCAAACCAUAUACAGAGUACAAUAAAAAUAGAACCAGUGCAGUAACAUAUAUAUGGAGAUGACCAGCGAUCAAAUGGCGCGACUCAAGCAGGUCUGGAAAAACGAAGAGAUCUGUAUACGUUGAUAUACACGUUUUUGAGAAGCGGCACUUACGGUCCAUCAACUAGGAUGUGAAGAAGUACAAAUCUCACCCUACUUUGUACACAAGGUUGAGAAAACAGCUUAUGUGAUACAAGUAAUAAAUACGACGAUGUCAAACAGAUACUAGGGAUAAGUGAGAAAUAUAUACAAUAAGCACAAAUGGAGAAAGGACGCGGGUGAAAAUCAAGACAAUCAUUCCGAGCUAUAUCUGAGUUGAGCGACAAGUUUCGACCGAUGUCUAUUGAACUCUUAGUCAAGUCGGCAGAGUAACAUAGGGUUUAUAGGGGUUAUAAAUAUACAACAAGUGUAAUGUCUCAAGAUAUUAUACCUUAAACAAACGUGUGAUAAAAAACACACUGUUGUAUCCAUUUCUACGCGUAGAUUAUAAGUCUAAAGACUGCGUAAGUAAACAAUGUAUUACACUAGAAAUACCAACUGCCUCGUCUUCCAUUCAUACUUACGAUGGCUUUGUACUAGAGGCAUAGUGGUCGAAGCGUUUCCUUCUGUUAUGGCUGAGCGUAGAUCUCGAAAAUAACACAAACUAGGUUUAGGAUCUGCCCGCUCCGAAUAAAUCAAUGUUUGGUACAGCUAAUAGUUGUCUCUAUCUUUUAAUAAAGAUGUUUGUGUAGAUAAUUCGUUAAACUCUUUAUUUCUACAGGAGACUACGCAUUUACGAACGAACCUUUGGCGUUGUAUCAGCAGAUCAACAGAUACUUUGGGUGAAGUUUUGUAGGCUAUGGUUAUUUGUAUUGGGUUGCUCAUACUCUGAUUUAUUAAUCACACCAUCGAUUUACCACCUUGAUUCAUCCACGUAUGAAGCUUGUUUUAAAUUUUGAAAUCUAUCUUUGAAUGUAUAGUUGGGGUUAGUAAACUGAGCAUUUUCCGUGGAUUUAUACGAUGAUUUUUGAUUGCUAAAAGAUGAAAUAUUGCAAAUUUGUAUAAAAGUAACAUUUUCUCGGUUUUUAAUAAAGUGUUACUCAGGAAUACACGUAACGUGAUUACGUAGCGCCUAGUUUGAUUUGACGAUAUGUUUGAUGUUUUUUUGAAGUUAACUCAGUGAAAAUAACCGCUAGUAAAAAGAAAUUAACACGCAGCUUGUAAAGAAAUGGUUAUGUAAUAAAUAUUUGUCUUGCAUUAGAGUGGUUUAAUGUUUAAGUAAAGAUAUAAGAACUAUACCGGUUGUAAGUACCAACAUUAAAUAUCGGUGGCUCUGUAAUUAACGUUGAAAAUUGCCUAGAUUUUGACAGAUUUACUAUGAAUGAUAAUCCAUUUGACAGACGAUCCAUUGAGGUCAAAUUCCAUCGUUAGCUGAAUUUCGGAAGACGCAUUCAGAACUCUGUGGAACACUAGCUGACUUUCAAGAGCUUCAGUGCAAGGAUUCGAUCACGUGGCGAUCAGCCUGUUCAUACGUAGCACACAGACGAAAGCUAACAACCAAAUGCAAUAAACUGUAACAAAAUAGAGUCUGGUUAGGAGGCUAGCUUGUUAAGAAUAAGUCAUUCGGCAAUUCUUUACGUAAAGACGUAGCCAGUAUGUUUUUAUAAUCUUCUUCGGCUACCAGAAUGAAAUUUUUGACAAGAUACACGUAAAGCUUUGUCAGGAACAUCUGAGUUAAAAAGAGGGUUUCAGUAUUUUGUAAAAGUUUCCAGUAUGCAUGGUCCUGAUUAGGCCCAAAUAGGGACCUGAGAAGAGUACUUACAACACGACCUGUUUUGGCCUAAAUAUAAGGGGUGCUUUAGUUACAGUUAUACCGACAGCUCGUUAAACAUUAACAAAA